rnacentral:rRNA from 1 species
GACGAACGCUGGCGGCGUGCCUAAUACAUGCAAGUAGAACGCACAGUUUAUACCGUAGCUUGCUACACCAUAGACUGUGAGUUGCGAACGGGUUAGUAACGCGUAGGUAACCUGCCUGGUAGCGGGGGAUAACUAUUGGAAACGAUAGCUAAUACCGCAUACUAUUAAUUAUUUCAUUAUAAUUAAUUGAAAGGUUCAAUUGCACCACUACCAUAUGGACCUCCGUUGUAUUAGCUAGUAGUUGAGGUAACGGCUCACCUAGGCGACGAUACAUAGCCGCCCUGCGAGGGAGACCGGCCACACAGGGACGGAGACACGGCCCAGACUUCUACGGCAGGCAGCAGUAGGGAAUUUUCGGCAAGCGACGAGAGUAUGACCGAGCAGCGCCGCGUGAGUGAAGAAGGUGUUCGGAUCGUAAAGCUCGGUUGUACGAGAAGAGCGGGUGUGGGAGUGGAAAGUCCACACUGUGACGGUAUCUUACCAGAAAGGGACGGCUAACUACGUG